UUGACAGGAUGCGCUUUGAUAGCACGCAAGCUGGCAGUGCUGCGCGUAUGUGCACAGAUGCAUGAUGUGACGCAUGCUAUGCAACAUGACAUGCACACGUCAUGCGUGAUGGAAUGUCACGCACUAUGCGCGAUAUGACGUGCGUGUAGGCAUGCGCACGGUCUACCUCGCGUGCACGUGCGGAUUCGUAGGCUCGCAGACAUGCGCGUAGGCACGCGCGAUG
rnacentral:lncRNA from 1 species